rnacentral:rRNA from 1 species
UACGUAGGGUGCGAGCGUUGUCCGGAAUUAUUGGGCGUAAAGGGCUCGUAGGCGGUUUGUCGCGUCGGGAGUGAAAACUCAGGGCUUAACCCUGAGCCUGCAGUCGAUACGGGCAGACUAGAGUGCUGUAGGGGAGACUGGAAUUCCUGGUGUAGCGGUGAAAUGCGCAGAUAUCAGGAGGAACACCGGUGGCGAAGGCGGUUCUCUGGGCAUUACCUGACGCUGAGGAGCGAAAGUGUGGGGAGCGAACAGG